rnacentral:rRNA from 1 species
UGCCUACGGGGGGCAGCAGUGAGGAAUAUUGGUCAAUGGACGCAAGUCUGAACCAGCCAUGCCGCGUGCAGGAAGACGGCUCUAUGAGUUGUAAACUGCUUUUGUACGAGGGUAAACGCAGAUACGAGUAUCUGUCUGAAAGUAUCGUACGAAUAAGGAUCGGCUAACUCCGUGCCAGCAGCCGCGGUAAUACGGAGGAUUCAAGCGUUAUCCGGAUUUAUUGGGUUUAAAGGGUGCGUAGGCGGUUUGAUAAGUUGGAGGUGAAAUGUUAGGGCUUAACCCUGAAACUGCCUCCAAUACUGUUU